rnacentral:lncRNA from 1 species
GAUCCAACUUGAAUGCUUCCUGAUUAAAUAUAUACAGGAGUGAUUUCAGAGGAAUUUAAGUUUUGGAUCAUUCUUUUGAGAAAGAAAGAAAAGUACCCUUUUAAAAGAGCGUACUUUCAACAUAAAGACGACGAGGAUAAAGGCAUUUAUGAUGAACUACUUCCACAUAAUGAAUAAUUGAACAAAGGAGAGAAUUGUGAGAGUGAGAAAAAGUGAGACAAAGAAGAAAAACUAUAAAUCAGCAAAAUACAGUGCCAAGAGCUCUGGACCACAAAUCAGAAGACCUGAGCCCUAAUUCCUUUCCAGUCAUUGGAUUUGUUCGUCGCUUGCCAAAACAGCAGCGAACUCUCUGUCAAACUGCAACUCAUUUUAUCGGAGCAAAAACUGAACAAAGAACUGCUAUCAUUUCUGAGGUCAGAGGCAGUGCAGCUUGUGUUACAACUCAAAAGAGUAAUACUCUGAAAAAAGAAAAAAAAAGAUGGCGCUGAAAAUAAACAUGUUCAGCAGCCAUUGUGAUUCAACUUACCCAGAUGUGCUUUUCAUGAGAUGGAGAAGGACGGAUGGAAAAGAAAAGCACACAAAUGUUAAUGGAUACAGUUCAAUCCAAAGAAAACCAUGGAAUAAAACAAGAGCAUUAUUUAAGAUGUGAGAAAGCUCAGGUAUGAGAAAGACAUGGUGCCAUUUUGUAUUUCAUCAUGACACACAUACUCACUGUGUCGAAAAGCAUAGUCAGGCUGAGGGUAGUUCUAAUAGUUGACCAAUAAGUCUAUGUCUUGAGUAUGAGCCACU